rnacentral:tRNA from 1 species
CAAGAGGUAGCUUAAUAUAACAAAGCAAUCAGCUUACAACUGAAAAAUGUUCCUACGAACCCACUUGA